AUUGAACGCUGGCGGCAGGCCUAACACAUGCAAGUCGAACGAGUGGCGGACGGGUGAGUAAUGUCUGGGAAACUGCCCGCUGGCGGGGGAUAACUACUGGAAACGGUAGCUAAUACCGCAUACCAUCGGAUGUGCCCAGAUGGGAUUAGCUAGUAGUUGGGGUAACGGCUCACCUAGGCGACGAUCCCUAGCUGGUCUGAGAGGAUGACCAGCCAAACUGGAACUGAGCCACGGUCCAGACUCCUACGGGAGGCGGCAGGGGGGAAUAUUGCAAAAUGGGCGAAAGCCUGAUGCAGCCAUGCCGCGUGGAUGAAGAAGGCCUUCGGGUUGUAAAGUACUUUCAGCGGGGAGGCGUUACUCGCAGAAGAAGCACCGGCUAACUCCGUGCCAGCAGCCGCGGUAAUAC
rnacentral:rRNA from 1 species